ensembl:lncRNA
UUCCUUCUUUUUUCUUUCUUUUACACCAUUUUGAUAAUAAGAGGCAGGUGACCCAGCAGCAAAAAAAACUGCCCAUCAAUGAGGACAGCUCAUGGGAGGCUUUCUCCCCCUAAAUGCCCAGAGGAAGAAGCCUAUGCUUCUGCAAAGGGGGAGUUGCACCCAAACCACAGGGAGCUGUCCUGGGCCUCCCAAAAUGCUGCCCAGCCUGCCCUUAGCAUCCGCCUGCUGUUUUUGGGCUGCAUUUGCAGAGCAGGGCCUUGCACAGAGAGCCUGAGCUGCGUGCAGGCCCAGUGGGUCUUGCCGCUGUGAGCAAUGGUGCAGCCUGGUGUAAGAACAGCCGAUCCCAGAGGCCAGCCUGCCAGGGGGAACAAAGAGAUGGUUAUAGGUUUGGGGAGAAAAAAAUAAGGAAAUGAAAAAGAAAAGAGAACAAAGGGCCAUUGACAAGAGGCACAAAUAAGCUAGGUCUUAAGUGUCAUUCCCCAUCUGAUAAAACAAAAAUGUCCAGAGCAACGAUCAAGAAAAAAAAACCCCACGCAGGAUUAAAUAUCUGUUUGGCUCUUUGCACAGACUGUACACAGAGCUCUUUUUCCUUUCGUGCUCUCAGUUCUCUUUCUUCUCGAUUAAUGUGGAGCUGGCCACAGGCUCACGUGUGGAUGGUGCGGGCCCGCAGUUCGGGAGCUGCCUUUGUGGAGUCCGCACUUCCAGGAGCCUGGAGCAAAACCAAACAGCAACGUGGGCGCGAAGGAAAGGGGAAGGUACUUGGGCUGAUCCUAUGAGAUGCAUCAGAGGGAAAGGGACGAGAGCUUGAGAAGGACCCAAAGCCAGAGACAAUUCCAGCAAGGGGUUAAAGAUGGCAAGACAGUACUGAAUAAAUGAUACGCAGCAGAAAAGGACAGGUGUGGGGAGUGCUGCCGUGGGCUGCCUGGGGCAGACAGGACACUGGUGACCAGCAGGCGGCAAGGAGAAGGGCGGGUGGUGCCCCUCACCGGGCUGUGAGCGGCGGGGGGCUGCACGCAAUUUGGCUUUGCCAUGCCAAAGAGAAGGGGAAUAAUCCAUUCUCCACAGCACGUGGAGGUAAAUAAGGCAAGAAAUAACGAGAUUAAGUUGCAGCAAGGGAAGCCCGAUACAGCUGUCAGGAAAAACUUCCUAAUGGUAAGGACAGCUGCAUAUUGCAGUUGCCUCCUGGGGCCGUGGCAUCCACCAGAGUGAGACGCAUGGGGCUGUCAGGAACGGCUGGGUACAACUGCACGUGUUUCUAGGGAGCAGGGAUGUGCUGGUGCUUCUUGACAGUUUCUCUUCCAACCACACUUUUGGAAAACAGUUGAAGGACUGCCAAGCUCGGUGGCACUGCGGUGGUUUCCAUUGGUGACAGAAAGAAAGCUAGAGCAGCAGUGUGUCCCCUGGACUGCAGGAUACGGUGUCCACCUGGGAACCCGCCUGGGGAAACAGGAAUUUGGAGUCCCUACGGUCAGCCACGAGACCAUCCUCCUCUCCCGUCUUAAGGUCCGUAAGGCCCAAGAAGCUGACUCUGACUCACUGAGGAGGGGUGGGGACUGAGCUGUCUCUACAGGAUGAGCCUUUCGUCUGUACAGCACAUACAGAAGUAAAAUGGGAGAAAGCCUCCACUGCACAGGCCCUGAUUUCUCUUUGGGUAUCGCUGGGCUUUGGUUGCUCCCUUUGCUACAAGAAGGGCUUAAGUUCAUAUAUGUAACUGUCUGUUUGAACACCCCUGCACUGAUAGGCGCGGGCAUCGGGAAAUGUGCGUUUAGUUCCACCACUGCUGCAUCUAUGAACCUAAUUUGGAAGCACCCCCGUCACCCCAGUGGAAGUAGAGCACGAUAUGGAACUCCAAGCUUCCUGCCAGCCUUGCAGUGCUAAGAGCUGCCAGCAAUUUCUCGAGAAGUGUUUUCAGCAAAAUAUUUUCUAAUUGAGGAACGCUGAUUCCUUCAAACCAUUGACUUUCUGCUGAGAACCACAAAGGAAAACAUGCCCAAUACGUUUCUCAAAUAAAAGUAAUGGAGAAAAAAUUAAGGACAUCGAACUUGCCUUCGUGUUAUUGGCAUUUAUAAUGGUGUUUUCUUUAUUCAAAUGAUUUCUGCUAUUUAAAUAAUUUUACUUUCAAG